rnacentral:lncRNA from 1 species
GUGACUUCUAUAAUUGGUACUAACUAAAUAAAAUUUUGCUUUCCAGCUUUGACCAGUGAUAAAAAUGCCAGUGCAGGUAGGGAAGCACCUAAAUUUCAUCUGAGUCAGUUUCUUCUUCUGCUGCUUUUG